UACAGAGGGUGCGAGCGUUGUUCGGAAUUAUUGGGCGUAAAGGGCGCGUAGGCGGUGCGGUAAGUCACCUGUGAAACCUCUGGGCUUAACUCAGAGCCUGCAGGCGAAACUACCGUGCUGGAGUGUGGGAGAGGUGCGUGGAAUUCCUGGUGUAGCGGUGAAAUGCGCAGAUAUCAGGAGGAACACCGGUGGCGAAGGCGGGUCUCUGGGCAACAACUGACGCUGAGGAGCGAAAGCGUGGGGAGCGAACAGG
rnacentral:rRNA from 1 species